ensembl:lncRNA
UUAGGGGUGUGCCCGAGUGUGAAACAAAGCAUUCUACGGAGCCACUGAAAGGUUAUCCUACGUUAGCGGUAGCCUGUUGCAUUACACUUAGCACAUACACAGUGUAAGGAGAAAUGUCUGAUAAGACGAUGACAAAUGAUUUGCAGAUCCUAAGCACCAAUGACAAACAUCUAAUCCUAUCAAAUGUGUGCGGAAGGAGAGAAAAGAGAGAAGAUGAGAGAUCCAGAACCUGCAGAAUGAAACAUCGUGAUACUGAAGAACAAACAGACCUGAUGGACGUGAACAAGAAAAGAAAAACAGAAGCCAAAAAAUCUGUCAUUUUCCUUCAGUGUAAAAAACGAUUGAGAUGUAAAUGAAGGCUGAAGAUUCACAUGAGAGUUCACACUGGGAAGAAGCGGCUCAGGCUUUCAUCUGAAAUCACAUAUUACACUUACAUAUUUUGCUUUAUUGUAAUAUUUAUGAAUGGAGUGAUAUAUAUAUAUAUAUGCCUUGAUAAGAAAAUACUAAGUCUUUUUAUGAAGGAAAGUAGAAGUGUUUUAAAUGAACUCAGUGUUUUUGUGCUGCUUUAGUUCAGGAAGCUGAAGAAGAGGACAAAACACUUUUAACAGAGACAUGAAUCUGAAAUUGAUUUUUACUUGUUCUUCGUUGUUUUUCAUUAGAACAUCUAGUUUA